UCUUUUUUGAAUACUAGGAGGUUCUGGGCCGAAGCCCGUAAUCCCACUAGACCGAAACCACAACAUGUAAUAUUAGUUUCGUCCCAAACGUCAAUCGAACCGGCGACCUCUAAGCUUUGUCUAGGAUCUUUACCAAUUGAACUAACGACACUUGAUAUUCGUAUCCUUUCACUUCUCUUUAGAAACAAACUCUUGCCCUACAUAAAAAUCUAUUCUAGCACCAUCAUCAUCUGAGUCAUCACUCUCGACAUAAUCAUCACGGUAAAAAUCAAGUUGCUCACUCUCAGGUUCCUCUUCUUCCUCCCUUUCUCCAAUAAGAAC
rnacentral:sRNA from 1 species